rnacentral:rRNA from 1 species
GUCCACGCCGUAAACGAUGUCAACUAGCCGUUGGGGAUCUUGAAUCUUUAGUGGCGCAGCUAACGCAUUAAGUUGACCGCCUGGGGAGUACGCCGGCAACGGUAAAACUCAAAGGAAUUGACGGGGGCCCGCACAAGCGGUGGAGCAUGUGGUUUAAUUCGAUGCAACGCGAAGAACCUUACCAGCCCUUGACAUGUAGCGAACUUUCUAGAGAUAGAUUGGUGCCUUCGGGAACGCUAACACAGGUGCUGCAUGGCU